AACCUUACCUGGCCUUGACAUACUAAGAACUUUCCAGAGAUGGAUUGGUGCCUUCGGGAACUUAGAUACAGGUGCUGCAUGGCUGUCGUCAGCUCGUGUCGUGAGAUGUUGGGUUAAGUCCCGCAACGAGCGCAACCCUUUUCCUUAUUUGCCAGCGGGUUAAGCCGGGAACUUUAAGGAUACUGCCAGUGACAAACUGGAGGAAGGCGGGGACGACGUCAAGUCAUCAUGGCCCUUACGGCCAGGGCUACACACGUGCUACAAUGGUCGGUACAAAGGGUUGCUACCUCGCGAGAGGAUGCUAAUCUCAAAAAGCCGAUCGUAGUCCGGAUCGCAGUCUGCAACUCGACUGCGUGAAGUCGGAAUCGCUAGUAAUCGCGGACCAGAAUGCCGCGGUGAAUACGUUCCCGGGCCUUGUACACACCGCCCGUCACACCAUGGGAGUUUGUUGCACCAGAAGUGGUAGUCUAACCGCAAGGAGGACGCUUACCACGGUGUGGCCGAUGACUGGGGUGAAGUCGUAACAAGGUAGGCGUAGAUGA
rnacentral:rRNA from 1 species